rfam:Ipomoea nil DNA, scaffold: scaffold1180, cultivar: Tokyo-kokei standard.
GUCGUUGUAGUAUAGUGGUGAGUAUCCCCGCCUGUCACGCGGGAGACCCGGGUUCGAUCCCCGACAACGGCG